AGGCAGGCAGUGGGCACAGUGAGGUACUCUACCAACGUCCUUGGGAUCCGAGGUUCCCUGAGCGCUUCUGGAAAUGACUAAUGCCAGGAGGUCAAUUCCUCCAGGAUCAACAAGGUCCCGGAUGUUAAAGCAUCGGAAGUACAGAAAAUAAGAUAUGUUACUAUGGCAGAAAAAGCUGGAAUUGAUGAUGCUGGCCGAGAAAUCUCUACUCCAUCCACAUUCUUGGGGAAACCAUGGUGAAUCCUGCCACUUGGCAUCAGGGCUGCUGAGGAGGACGAUCCAGGGCUGGCGAGACAAAGAACCACAUGGUGACGUGGGCAUGAUGGCGGUGCCCAGGAGUCCUGAGGUGCACGUCACCCUAAACCACAGCCUGCCUGCCUUGUAAGUUAAAUCAUAAAGCCAUGCGGAGGACACGGUGUCUGUCUUAGUGUCUGCACAUUUGGCCUCUCAGGAAAUGCUGCUGUUGCUGGAGACCAGGCUCUGAGGGUCUGGCAGAAGGGCCCUUGGAAACCUCGAGUAACGUCCAGCAAGUUCGUUUUACGGUGGAAGAAAAUUCAUUGAAGAAACUCUGAGAGUUCAUGGUAUGUGAUGGCGUUGUUGAGCUGCGUCUUAGGGUCGGAAGACUUUAAUUAUUGGAUUGUGGGGCUCGGCAUCUUUUUCAGGGGUUGGGAGUCGGCCGCGAUAAAAGAAAAGGCAUAUUUUCUAGGACAGGGCAUCUCAAAUUUUGCUGUGCGUCAUUGGUUGGGGGCUUGUCGUAUGGGUUGGGUUUUCUUCAGGGGGUUAACUUCAGGACGUGGCUAAGCGCAAGAGUGAACUACACCUGCUAACCACCCCUCAGAAUUAGGCAGUGUCCUUGGCCAGACACAGACAGCACGAGGAUGAACCAGGCUUCCCUACAUGGAGGGGGCUGUCCUAGCAAGACUCAGGCCAUAGAACAGCAGAGAAGGCAUGUUCCCUGCAGGCGACCUUGACCCACGAGGAGGGAUUCUCUUGAGGAGGUCUCUUUGGGAGCUUCUUAAGGCCACAGAAGUCAGGCCACACACUUCAUAAGCUAUGAUCCGGUGGAUUGGGGACAGGGGGAUAGUUCAGAGGGCAUAGUUCAGAGGUGGAUAGUUCAGAGGGCAGACACUGCAGUCAGAUUUAUUGGGUUCAAACGUCAGCUCUACUCAUUUCUAGUACCGUACUAGCUAACCCGAGCUGCUAUAACCAGGUACCACAGACUGGGCUGCUUAAAAACGGAAAUUUAUUUCCUCACAGUUCUGGAAAGCAGACGUCAGGGAUCAAGGUGUUCGUGGGGUUAGUUUCCUGUGAGGCGUCUCGUUGGCUCGUAGAUGGCUGUCUUCUCCCUCUGUGUUCACCCAGUCUUCCCUCUGUGUGUGUAUGUGUCCUAGUCUCUUCUUAGAAGGACACCAGGGGCGCCUGGGUGGCGCAGUCAGUUGAGCGUCCAACUUCAGCCAGGUCACCAUCUCGCGAUCCGUGGGUUCGAGCCCCGCGUCAGGCUCUGGGCUGAUGGCUCGGAGCCUGGAGCCUGUUUCCGAUCCUGUGUCUCCCUCUCUCUCUGCCCCUCCCCCGUUCAUGCUCUGUCUCUCUCUGUCCCAAAAAAAAAAAAUAAAUAAAAUAAAAUAAAAAAAAAAGAAGGAC
ensembl:lncRNA